GACAAGCUACACAUCACAAACCAUUAGAAAUUAUUCAGAAAAAAGUUUUGAAUAACAAAUUCCUGAGCUGUUCACAGAUACUUGGUGAACAGAAAGAGAUGAGAAAACCAAGACCCAGAAAAAGAUUCUCUUUAGAAAGCUGGGAGUUGCUGGGUCCUAGACACACAUGUAGUUCACUAGACGAAGCUGACUCAGAAGGUGUGUCACGGAUAACUGAGAAUUAGUCUUUGAGGAUAUGGAGAAAUAAUGGAUGUUGGAUGAUUCUGCUGAACAGAAGGCCAGUAUAUCAUCAGUAUAUCGAUCAGCAUAAAGUGUACA